rnacentral:lncRNA from 1 species
CCAGCCUGGGCAACGACAGCGAAACUCCGUCUCAAAAACAAACUUCUACCAAGAACUUGUAUUAGUUUUAUGGCUAAGGUUUGCUUUUAAACAUUUUCUUGAUCAUUGUUUUACAGGAACAUCUCUUUAAUGGAAAUUUUUAAACUUAUUUUUGCCUCCCCCAAAUCCAUAACCCCAAUUUGAAGUAGAAAGUUGCAAACUAUGGGGAUGAAUUUGCGGAAGGGUAUGUCUUUUCUUUUUCUAUGAACAACUCAGAAUCACAUCUCAAAAGGUGUAGGCACUUUCAAGAACGCUUCAUCCGCCCGCUUUAAGCACGCGCACCGACGAAAGAGUUUGGGGAGCGAGCGCCUCGGGCUUCCCCGGAGGGGAAUUUUCACCCCCGCCAGAGGAAGAGGGCCCAGCUGCGCCAUUAGCGCGUGCGAGGGAAAAUGGAGGCUCCUGGUCCCACCCGCGCACCGGCGCCUGCGCCCUGGGCGCCCAC